rnacentral:rRNA from 1 species
GAUGAACGCUGGCGGCGUGCCUAAUACAUGCAAGUCGAGCGAACGGACGAGAAGCUUGCUUCUCUGAUGUUAGCGGCGGACGGGUGAGUAACACGUGGAUAACCUACCUAUAAGACUGGGAUAACUUCGGGAAACCGUAGCUAAUACCGGAUAAUAUUUUGAACCGCAUGGUUCAAAAGUGAAAGACGGUCUUGCUGUCACUUAUAGAUGGAUCCGCGCUGCAUUAGCUAGUUGGUAAGGUAACGGCUUACCAAGGCACCGAUGCAUAGCCGACCUGGGGGGGUGAACGGCCAAACCGGAACUGAGACACGGCCAAAACCCCAAGGGGAGGGAGGAGGAGGAAAUUUUCGCCAAAGGGGGAAAGCCUGAAGGAGCAACGCCGGGGGAGUGAUGAAGGUUUUCGGACUGAAAAACGUUGUUAUUAGGGAAAAAAAAAUGGGAAAGAAAAUGUGAAAAUUUGGACGGUACCUAUGCAGAAAGCCACGGCUAACUACGU